rnacentral:rRNA from 1 species
CCUACGGGUGGCUGCAGUGGGGAAUAUUGCACAAUGGGCGCAAGCCUGAUGCAGCCAUGCCGCGUGUGUGAAGAAGGCCUUCGGGUUGUAAAGCACUUUCAGCGGGGAGGAAGGCGGUGAGGUUAAUAACCUCAUCGAUUGACGUUACCCGCAGAAGAAGCACCGGCUAACUCCGUGCCAGCAGCCGCGGUAAUACGGAGGGUGCAAGCGUUGAUCGGAAUUACUGGGCGUAAAGCGCACGCAGGCGGUCUGUCAAGUCGGAUGUGAAAUCCCCGGGCUCAACCUGGGAACUGCAUUCGAAACUGGCAGGCUAGAGUCUUGUAGAGGGGGGUAGAAUUCCAGGUGUAGCGGUGAAAUGCGUAGAGAUCUGGAGGAAUACCGGUGGCGAAGGCGGCCCCCUGGACAAAGACUGACGCUCAGGUGCGAAAGCGUGGGGAGCAAACAGGAUUAGAUACCCCGGUAGUC